rnacentral:rRNA from 1 species
GGCGGCAGGCCUAAUACAUGCAAGUCGAACGCCUGUAGCAAUACAGGAGUGGCAGACGGGUGAGUAACACGUGGGAACGUGCCCUUUGGUACGGAACAACUCCGGGAAACUGGAGCUAAUACCGUAUGUGCCCUUCGGGGGAAAGAUUUAUCGCCAAAGGAUCGGCCCGCGUCUGAUUAGCUAGUUGGCGGGGUAAUGGCCCACCAAGGCGACGAUCAGUAGCUGGUCUGAGAGGAUGACCAGCCACACUGGGACUGAGACACGGCCCAGACUCCUACGGGAGGCAGCAGUAGGGAAUAUUGGACAAUGGGCGAAAGCCUGAUCCAGCCAUGCCGCGUGAGUGAUGAAGGCCUUAGGGUUGUAAAGCUCUUUCGCCAGGGACGAUAAUGACGGUACCUGGAUAAGAAGCCCCGGCUAACUUCGUGCCAGCAGCCGCGGUAAUACGAAGGGGGCUAGCGUUGUUCGGAAUUACUGGGCGU